UACAGAGGGUGCAAGCGUUAAUCGGAAUUACUGGGCGUAAAGCGUGCGUAGACGGUUAUGUAAGUCGGGUGUGAAAUCCCCGGGCUCAACCCGGGAACUGCGUCCGAUACUGGAAGGCUUGAAUCCGGGAGAGGGAUGUGGAAUUCCAGGUGUAGCGGUGAAAUGCGUAGAUAUCUGGAGGAACACCGGUGGCGAAGGCGGGUCUCUGGACAGUUCCUGACGCUGAGGCACGAAGGUCAGGGGAGCAAACGGG
rnacentral:rRNA from 1 species